ensembl:miRNA
CCUUAUCACUUUUCCAGCCCAGCUAUCUAUUAAAUGUUUGUUGGACGGAGAACUGAUAAGGG